rnacentral:rRNA from 1 species
AGAGUGAACGCUGGCGGCAGGCCUAAUACAUGCAAGUCGAACGGCAGCACGGCAGAGCUUGCUCUGUGGGUGGCGAGUGGCGGACGGGUGAGGAAUACAUGGGAAUCUGCCCAGUCGUGGGGGAUAACGUAGGGAAACUUACGCUAAUACCGCAUGCCGCCCGUUCGGGGGAAAGCCGGGGACCUUCGGGCCUGGCGCGAUUGGAUGAGCCCAUGUCGGAUUAGCUAGUUGGCGGGGUAACGGCCCACCAAGGCGACGAUCCGUAGCUGGUCUGAGAGGAUGAUCAGCCACACUGGAACUGAGACACGGUCCAGACUCCGUACGGGAGCAGCAGUAAGGGAAUAGUUAGGACAAGUGGGCGACAAGCCUG